rnacentral:snRNA from 1 species
GGAUGUGAGGGCGAUCUGGCCACAACAUCUGUCACCCCAUUGAUCGCCAGGCUUGAUUCGGCUGAUCUGGCUGGCUAGGAGGGUGUCCCCUUCCUCCCUCAACGCUCCAUGUGCGUCCCUCCUGAAGCUGCACUCUCGGUCGAACAGGACGACCACCCCUGAUAGAGGAGGACUGUUCCUCCGUCAAGGGUAUACGAGUAGCUGCGCUCCCCUGCUAGAACCUCCAAACAAGCUCUCAAAAAACAGAAGAAAAACAGCAAAAUUUCCCAUUACACAAUAACAACCCUUUAAAGUCUUACAAUCAAUAAGAAGCUGGCAAAU